GCAUUAAUGGGGUAGUGGUAACCUGGGUCGUUGCCAUUGGUGAUGAUGCAUUUCAUUCGACCCGCCGGGGGUUCGAUUCCCCCUUAAUGCA